GCAAAGCCUAAAAUUGAAUAAAAGGCGAGGCCUGGAAUUGGACAGCAGUUUUCUUUCUGUAUUACGAGGGUAAUUUGAAAAAAGCACAGAGUACUUUCCACGAGAGCCAUGGCCCUGAAAUGGAAGCUUCAUCUGGCAGAAGUCACCAAACAGGAAGCACAGAGAAUGGAUCUAGAGUAGGAAUAAUUUGGUGUUGUGCUGCAGGAAUGCGGAUGAACUCAGGUCGAACGGCAAGAAGAUGCCUGUGCAGCCCAGAAAAAAUGCCGUCAGAUCUAGUGACCCUGAAAUCCAAGGUUCAUCUGGACGAAGUUGCCCAACAGGAAGCAUGCAACAUGGAGCUAGAGUGGGAAGAAUUCAUUAUCUGCUGAAGGAUGAACUCAACAAACUCGGGUCAAAUGUCUGGAAGAUACCUAGAAAUAUGCCACUAUAUCCAGAAGUACACAAGCACAGAGUGCUAUUCACAAGAGCAAGGCCCUGGAAUCCAAGGUUCAUCUGGCAGAAGUCACUCAACAGGAAGCACGCAACAUGGAGCUAGAGUGGGAAGAAUUCAUUAUCUGCUGAAGGAUGACCUCAACAAACCCAGGUCAAGAUGCCUAGAAAUAUGCUACCAUAUCCAGUCAAGCACAGAGUGCCAUUCAUGAGAGCUAAGCCCACAAAUCAAGGGUACGUCUAGAAGAAGUUGCCCUACUGGAAGCACAGAAAAUGGAGCUAGAUUAGGAAGAAUUUGGUGUCAUACUGGAGUAUGAACUCGAUAAACUGAGGUCAAAGGUCAAGAAAAUGCCCAGAAUCAUGCCACGAGUUCCAGUGUCUCGUUGUCACCAGUGUACACCAUGGAUACAUUCCUUUCUGGCGUUAACCAUCCUCCAAGCAUUAAUGAGAGAUGCUAAUGCUAAGCUACUGGAGACAAUGGCAUGACACCAAUCUUGAAAUCUUCAUCUACAUGCAAUGUCUGGUAUGAACAGUAGUUGAUAUUCAUGUGAGGUAUGAUACAAAAGAGACAUUGGAUUUGACACCGUCUUUACACUGAACACCAUCUACACAAAAGUACUUGACACCAACUGUCUGGGGAUUGGGGCAUCCAAAACUUUAGCCCUUCGCGGCAUUGGAUUAUUAUUUUAUAAAGGGUAAUUGAAUUUUCAUGCCCCCGCAGACAAAGUCCGGAGGGGGCAUUAAGCAUUGCCCCUGUCCGUCCGUCCCCCCACUUGGUUUCCGCGCAAUAACUCGAAAACUAUUAAUGGAUUUUAAAAAAUUUUGGUGUGUAGGUAGAUGACACCAAAAUACAGGCUAAGUUUGAAUUCGGAGUCCCCAGGUCAGAGGUCACAGCUCAUUAAAUAUGCGAGUUGGUUUUCGCAUGAUAAGUUAUGAAAUGUUCAACAGAUUAAAAAAAUUUAGAUAUGUAGGUAAAUAACACCAAAAUACAGGCUAAGUUCGAAUUUGAAGUCCGCAGGUGCGAAUUUGGGCGCUAAUGCAGUUUCGCAACGGCCGACUUCCGGCCAAUUUCACCACUACCAAUACUUCGCAAAUGUUAUAAAAAAUCUCUCAAUCCCAUUUCAAGGUCAAAUUGUGCCCAGCAUCGUAUUUCGCCGCUUUCUGAAAAAUUUCAAUUUUCGAUUGAUUCUAAUUUUGUUAAAAAUAACGAAUUUUGGAUUGAAAUCAUUACCUGCAUGUUUCCGUCCUACACACAAGAUGUACCUAAUGGCAUAGAGUAUUGUGAGCUGAAAUUAUCAAGCAAAUUUCUCUCUAUUUUGUAUGGUAGCUGCGAUAGAAAUUUUCCUUUCACUUUGCCUCGAAUGAGAAAGGUACUUGUUACUCAAGAGGAUUAAUGAAAAAGAUGAAAAA